CGCUCUGUCACCCAGGCUGGAGUGCAGUGGCGCAAUCUCACUUACUGCAAGCUCCACCUCCUGGGUUCAUGCCAUUCUCCUGCCUCAGCCUCCUGAGUAUCUGGGACUACAGGCGCCUGCCACCAUGCCUGGCAAUUUUUUUUUUUUUUGUAUUUUUAGUAGAGACGAGGUUUCACUGCAUUAGCCGGAUGGUCUCGAUCUCCUGACCUCGUGACCCACCCGCCUCGGCCUCCCAAAGUGCUGGGAUUACAGGUGUGAGCCACUGCACCCAUCCAGUUCUGGCUGUUUUUUCAAAUUGGCAUAGAGAUAAGGCCAUUAUCUACAUUAGUUGUGUACCAAGUGGCAACUGUUGUGUUCAUUCUUUUCAGUAAAGAACAACAUUUAGAACAAUAGCUGGCCAGGCGCAGUGGCUCACAUCUGUAAUCCCAGCACCUUGGGAGGCUGAGGUGGGCACCUCCCGGGUUCGAGUGAUUCUCCUGCCUUAGCCUCCUGAGUAGGUUGGACUACAGCAUCCAUGAGUGGCUAAGGUUUGUAUUUUUAGUAGAGAUGAGGUUUCACCAUAUGGGCUAGGCUGAUCUUGAACUCCUGACCUCAAGUUCACGCCAUUGUCCUGCCUCAGCCUCCCAAGUAGCUGGGACUACAGCCGCCCAACACCACAACUGGCUAAUUUUUUGUAUUUUAGUAGAGACGGGGUUUCAUUGUGUUAGCCAGGAUGGUCUCGAUCUCCUGACCUUGUGGUCUGCCUACCUUGGUACUCCCAAAGUGCUGGGAUUACAGGCGUGAGCCACUGUGCCUGGCCUGUUGUCUAUAUUUUCUUUCUCUCUUUUUUUUUUUUUGAGAUGGAGUCUCGCUCUGUCACCCAGUCUGGAGUGCCCUGUAUAACUUGUCACUGAAAAAUACCGACAAGUACAUAUUCCCACAUAUGUAACUAGACAUUGAGGAUUUAAAGUUUCAUGAAAAUCUGCACAAUUUGGCUGGGUGCAAUGGCUGACACCUGCAAUCCCAGCACUUUGGGAAGCUGAGGCAGGAGAAUUGCUUGAGUCUAGGAGAUCAAGACCAGCCUGGGCAACAGGGAGACUCUGUCUCUACAAAAAAAUAAAAAAUUAGCCGGGCACGUUGGCAUGCACCUGUAAUCCAGGCUCCUCAGGAGACUGAGGCAGGAUGAUGGCUUGAGCCUGGGAGUUUAAGGCUGCAGUGAGCUGUGAUUGUGCCAUGGUACCCAGCCUGGGUGACAGAGUGAGACCCUGUCUCAAACCACCCCCAACAAUCAAAAAAAGACAGUUUUUUUUUGAACAAUUAGAGCCAGUGGCAUAGAAUUCUGGCAAGAGAUCAAGAGGGUAGGAAAUGAAACCAUGGAAGAAAUAUUGUAAAAAUUAUGGUUAUCAAAGUAGGCUGACUUGGUAGCUCAUGGCUGUAAUCCCAGCAGUUUGGGAGGCUGAGACGGGGGUUUCUUGUAGAGUUUGAGACCAGCCUAGGCUACAUACCAAGACCCUGUCUCUAUAAAAAUAAAUUGAGGCCGGGCGCAGUGCCUCAUGCCUGUAAUUCCAGCACUUUCGGAGGCCUAGGCAGGCGGAUGAGAAGGUCAAGAGUUUGAGAACACCCUGGCUAACAUGAUGAAGUCCCAUCUGUAGGAAAAAUACAAAAAUUAGCUGGGUCUGGUUGCACAUGCUAGUUGGCAGGCUGAGGCAGAAGAACCGCUUGAACCCAGGAGGCGGAGGUUGCAGUGAGCCGAAAUCGUGACACUGCACUCCAGCCAAAGUGAGACUCCAUCUCAAAAAUAAAUAAAAUAAAAUAAAUAAAUAAAUCAAAAAAUUGGAUGAUGCAUGCCUCUAGUCCUAGCUACACAGCUUUUAGCUAGGGUGAUCACUUGAACCCAGCCAGGCGUUUGAGGUUACAGUGAGCCAUGAUCACUGCAGUGCACUAUAGACCAGGCAAUGGAGCAAAACCCCAGCUCUGAAAAAAGUAAAACAUGUUGUGCAUGGUGGGUCACGCCUGUAAUCUUACCACUUUGGGAGGCCAAGACAGGCAGUUCACCUGAACUCAGGAGUUUGAGACCAGCCUGGGCAACUUGGCAAAACCCAUGUCUACAAAAAAAGUAGAAAAACUCCCCAGUGCAGUAGUGCACACCUGUAUUUCCAGCUACUCGGGAGGCUGAGGCAGGAGAAUCACUUGAGCCUGGGAGGUGAAGGUUGCAGUUAGCAGAGAUUGUGCCACUGCACUGUAGACUGGGAGAUAGAACAAGACUCUGUCUCAAAAAAAAAAAAAAAAUUAAACAUUAAAAAGUAAAAUAAUUGUCAUCAAAAUAAUGUUUCUGUGUUCAGAUGGGUGAAAUCUCUUAAUAUGUCUGAAAACAUUUUAAAUCCUUUAUCCCCUCAUCAGCAGACAGUACCUAAUAAAUACUUCAAUGAAAUGAUGUGGUGAUGCAUGCCUAUAGUUUUAGCUACUUGGGAGGGUGGCCUGAGCCCAGGGGUUCUAGACCAGCUUAGGCAACAUAGCAAGACCCCAUCUCAAAAAAAAAAACAAAAACAAAACAAAAAAAAAACUUGAAGAAGUGAAUGCAUGGAAAGGCGCUUUUCUAAAACAAAUGUGGUCAGGCUGGGUGUGGGGGCUUAUGCCUGUAAUCCCAGCAAUUUGGGAGGUGGGGGUGGGCAGAUCAUUUGAGGUCAAGAGUUCGAGACCAGCCCAGCCAACAUGGUGAAACCCCAUCUCUACUAACAAUACAAAAAUUAGCUGGGUGUGGUGAUGUGCACCUGUAAUCCCAGCUACUUGGGAGGCUGAAGCAGGAGAAUCACUUGAACCUGGGAGGUGGAGGUUGCAUUGAGCCAAGAUUGCACCACUGCACUCCAUGCUGGGUGACAGGGUGCGACUCUGUCAAAAAUAAAUAAAUUAAAUUAAAUAAAUGUGGUAUUUGUAUUUAUUGCUUUUCCAAUGUUACAUCAACCUUGUAUUCCUGGAUAAGCUCGACUGUGACAUAAUGGAUCACUUAAAAAUACUUCAUGACCUUUACUAAUAUGUUAUGGAGCUAUGUUUGAAUAACAUUGUGAUUUUUAAAAAAUUGUCCCUUAAUGAUAUUUGUAUAUAAUGACUGUCAUAUACUGUACUAUUUCUAAAUUCUUAAUCUAUAAGAGUCAUCUAGGUUGGGAAUAGUGGCUCAGGCCUGUAAUCCCAGCACUUUUGGAGGCUGAGGCAAAAAGAUCCCUUGAGCCAAGGAGUUCAAACCAGCCUGGGCAACAUAGCGAAACCACAUCUC
rnacentral:lncRNA from 10 species